rnacentral:rRNA from 1 species
UGGGGAAUAUUGCACAAUGGAGGGAACUCUGAUGCAGCGACGCCGCGUGAACGAAGAAGGCUUUCGAGUCGUAAAGUUCUUUUAUAUGGGAAGAUAAUGACGGUACCAUAAGAAAAAGCCCCGGCUAACUACGUGCCAGCAGCCGCGGUAAUACGUAGGGCGCGAGCGUUGUCCGGAAUUAUUGGGCGUAAAGGGCUUGUAGGCGGUUGGCCGCGUCUGCCGUGAAAUCCUCUGGCUUAACUGGGGGCGUGCGGUGGGUACGGGUUGACUUGAGUGCGGUAGGGGAGACUGGAAUUCCUGGUGUAGCGGUGGAAUGCGCAGAUAUCAGGAGGAACACCGGUGGCGAAGGCGGGUCUCUGGGCCGUUACUGACGCUGAGGAGCGAAAGCGUGGGGAGCGAACAGG